CGCCAGUACGCAAAUGGCAGAACAAUGGCACUGGAAUACUGAACGGUGCCAUCAUACAUGCCAACCCUCCCGAUUUUUCCGAGAGAAUCCCGAAUUUCGGUGCCCUUCCUGAAAGCCACCAUUCUCCAGAAUUUCUCCUAAUUUCACCCGGACAACAAAAGUGCUAAACCAUCCUUAACUGAGCUUCCGUUGGCGGGCGGACAAUAAUAACGGUGACACCUCGAAGUCAAGCGCGGGAAUCAGAACAAAGGAAGACGAAGCAGAAGAGAAAUGGCAACGACCAGCAAGAGAAGGAAAUAUGCGUGCAGCACGGAUCACGACCCAGUAUUUUGGGGCAUGUUGCUGAAAGUAGACCCAAGGAUGGUGUUUAUGCCGAGACAAAGAUGGCUAUGCUGUUAGCUACAAGCUACAAGCUACAAGCUACAUGUCCCUGAAGGAUAUGUUCCCGGAUUGGGAGAUCGCUCGCCAGUAGGCAAAUGGCAGAACAAAGGCUCAAAUAGUGAAAGGUGCCAUUGCCCAGAAUUGGACUGUGCCUAAACCAACCCUUUGGUCUGAUGUGUGAUGAAAGCACAAACAGAAACUCAGAUAAAGAGUUUGUGAUAUUGGCCAGGGUUUUCUCUCCGAAAACUCAGAAGGGGUGACGAGGUCCAGCUGGCCACAGGAUGUGGCAUUAGGGCUCUAGGCCAGCCUGUUGAUCACAUCCUCAGCAGCAUUUAUGCUCUUUGACGUCAGUGCCAAACAUGCUGAAAUCUUCAAAGAGUUUGUGCAGUUCAGACUCAGAGACUGAAGAUACUCCAAUACUGUGCAACCAGGUGGCCCAGCUUGCUGACUUGUUUUGGCAUAAACCGGGUGCUCAACCAGUGGGAUGCACAGCAGGCCAGUAUGAGGAUGUGGAGAAGCCUGACAAGGUGAAGAUGCUGGCAGAGCAUUUAACCAGCAAGAAGACAAAGUUCUUCUUCCUCUUCCAGGUUCUGAAGCCACUGGCAGAGUUCAAGGUUAUUUCAGGCUGAAGGAGUGAUGGUCCAUUGGCUACACAAGGAGAUGACCAGCCUGGUGAGAAGAUUCAUGGGAAGAUUUUUCCCUGCCAGCCUUAUUGCUGACGUCCCACUGAAGGACAUGAAGUUCAUGGAUGCCAGCCUACAGUUGCCAGACAAAGAACAGUCUCUUGGAGUAGCUGCACAAAGCCUCUGGGGGGACAACAUGGAUGAACUUUCCUCUUCUGUUCCAAUGAUGAUCCAGGCAGUGAGAGACUUCUUUGUAGCUGUGACUGCAAAGAUGAUGACCGCAUUCCCCCUCGACAACAUCAUCCUCCAAAACCUGACCGUGUUGGAUCCAGAGUCACGGCAUCAAUUUUCUCCAAACUCAGAGCGGGUUCCCCAGUGAAUACUUUCACUCCUUCUUGAACUCAGUGGAAAUGAUCACUGUAGAAUUAACCUCGCCUGUGGAUGCUGUUAUGGCCUGCAAGCCAGAUGAGAAGAUGGUGUUGAACAAAGGCAGCUAUGACUCCACCAGCUCCAGGUUCUCUAACCCAAGUUACUCUGAGCUUUGUAGCCUCCUCCUAUUUCCUCACUCACUGCUGGGAAUCUGAAGCCCUGUGCGGCUGACACGCCUUAUGGCCCUGUUGGUACUCGGGGUGAAGGAAAAAGCACAGAACAGGAACAACUGGUACACGUGUUAUUGUUAGCUGUGCUCUUUUUAUUCCAGCUGGUGAGGGAUCCACAGCCUGUAGCAGCCUCACACACCUUUUAUCACCGUUUCCUCCUCAUGUCCUCAAAGGGCCUGUCUGCACACUGUUAUAUCAUGAGUAAUAGUUGAAAAGAAAUCUGUAUACAUAAAAUAUGUGCAUGCACACACACAACUAAAUAUGUAAUAUUUAGAAUCACUUUUAAUUUAGAUAAGGUAGUUUUUUAGCCUUAGAUACAAACAGUGAAGGGCAGAAAGUGAGACCAUUUUCAAUCACUAAGACAAGAAUUCAAAUGAACACUUAUUUGUUUCUACUUUUGCAAGCUAUAAAAUUAUAGCUCCUCUGAUGAGACUCCUCUCUCCUGUCCCCAGGACAGUAAAAAUCUUCAUGAGUGAAGACGACAUUGACUUUAGAGCUGGAAUAUAAAGUAGACCCCAAUAUUUCGCUUCACAUAAACAUCGUCAUUUAUUCCCUCUUACUGUGGCUGUUUUUCUUCCACCACGAUAAAAUCACACUUCAUGCAGAGCUCUCUCUCUGAGGAAGAGUUUCCCAUCUAAAAAUCUGUUUUCUGCAUUAUUCUCUUGCUUAUUACCCACCAGUCUAACAUUGUUUACAGCACUGUGGGACGUUAUUACUGUUCAAUGCUGAGCAAACUUUUUAAAAUGAUGCAAAAUUGCAUACUGCUUAGCUGUACUUUGCUCUGCUUCAAUUCAGCAGCAUCAGGUAAUGUUCGCUUGUUGAUUCAUGGUUUUCUCCAGUUUUUGUUCUACUGCAGAAUAUUUUUAAGGUUGUUUGUUUAAAAAAAAAAAAAACCAGGGCAGGAAAAUCUCCUUCAUGUUUUUGUGUUUUAUCCCCAGUUGACACAAAGACAUCUGCUGUGAUGUUUACACCUUUGAUAAAGUCUUGCAAGUGUCAGCUUUCUUUUUUAUAAAUAUAUAUAAAUUUAAAAAAACCUGGAGAAAUACUUAUGGGACUAUACCCCGAGCCAACUGGUCCUGAAAAAAAGCCUAAAAACACACAAGUACUUCCAACAAACAUUGCUGCCCAGGACAAUGAAACUGACGGUGUAAUAACUUCAUGCCUCAUCCCACACAUACCCGGAUCUCCCACCGGAGGACACGGCGGUCCGCCUCCUCCGGGUGGGGGCUGCCGUCUCCAUAUCCUGCAGUACCACUGGUACCUGCAGACAUGAGAACAACCAGUGAGCAAACAUGUAACUAUCACAUCAAUGUGAAUCUGAUGGGUGUGAUUUUUCCAGACUGAAGGAAGUGCAAACAGAAUGUUACAGAACUGUUAUACAGCAUGAGGGUAAUCAAUUCAAAUUACUGUCCUUUAUUUGGCAUAAUUACUGUCUAACUGACAGAAGUUAGCUCACUAGUUUCCACCUAAACAUGAUAUACCACGGUCUGACUGAGAGAUUUUUGAAAAAAAACCGUACGGCUCUACUUAUCACUUCCAACAUAAAUGAAGACCGAAAACUGCAUCAGAACAGCAAUGCAAUGCAAAAUGCCAUUAUACUGAAAAUCUGGGUGCUACUACUGCAUAGGUACUUACUUUGGCAAUUUCUUGCUUGCCGUUUUCUGAACAAACAAACAAAACGGCAGGUUAAGAAAUAAAUACUCUGGACACCUUAGAAGGUUUUUAUAUAUAUAUGUAUAAUUGGAAAAAAAAAAAACCUGGAGAAAUACUUACAGGAAUCAGGCCACGAGCCAACUGGUCCUGAAAAAAAUACAUUAAAAAAACACAUAAGUACUUCCAACAAACAUUGCUGCCCAGGACAAUGAAACUGACGGUGUAAUAACUUCAUGACUCAUCCCACACAUACCCGGACCUCCCAGUGAAGGAGGCGGCGGUCCGCCU
ensembl:lncRNA